rnacentral:misc_RNA from 1 species
GAACUGCGAUAAGUAAUGUGAAUUGCAGAAUUCAGUGAAUCAUCGAGUCUUUGAACGCACAUUGCGCCCCCUGGCAUUCCGGGGGGCAUGCCUGUCCGAGCGUCAUUGCUGCCCUUCAAGCCCGGCUUGUGUGUUGGGUCGUCGUCCCCUCUGGGGGACGGGCCCGAAGGGCAGCGGCGGCACCGCGUCCGGUCCUCGAGCGUAUGGGGCUUUGUCACCCGCUCGAUAAGGACCGGCCGGGCGCCAGCCGGCGUCUCCAACCUUUUUUUCUCAGGUUGACCUCGGAUCAGGUAGGGAUACCCGCUGAACUUAAGC